rnacentral:tRNA from 1 species
GGGUUUGUGGCUCAGUGGUAGAGUGCUUGCCUAGCACACAUGAGGCACUGGGUUCAAACCUCAGCACCA